UUUCUGCGAAUUGUUUUGGCAAAUUGUUUAUUCCUCUAAAAAAUAGUAGGUAUAGCACUGAAUAUCUCGAGGGAGUAUGAAAAUAUUUAUCUCAGAUAUUUAAUCUCAAAAUAACUAUUUCUUAAAAUAAAUAAUCAGACUAUGUGCGAUAAGGUAGAUAGUCGAAAGGGAAACAGCCCAGAACAGUAAUUAAAGCUCCCCAAUUAAUAUUAAGUGAA
rnacentral:rRNA from 1 species